rnacentral:rRNA from 2 species
GGUUAAGCGACUAAGCGUACACGGUGGAUGCCCUGGCAGUCAGAGGCGAUGAAGGGCGUGCUAAUCUGCGAUAAGCGCCGGUAAGGUGAUAUGAACCGUUAUAACCGGCGAUACCCGAAUGGGGAAACCCAGUGUGACUCGUCACACUAUCAUUAACUGAAUCCAUAGGUUAAUGAGGCGAACCGGGGGAACUGAAACAUCUAAGUACCCCGAGGAAAAGAAAUCAACCGAGAUUCCCCCAGUAGCGGCGAGCGAACGGGGAGGAGCCCAGAGCCUGAAUCAGCAUGUGUGUUAGUGGAAGCGUCUGGAAAGGCGCGCGAUACAGGGUGACAGCCCCGUACACAAAAGCGCAUGUGCUGUGAGCUCGAUGAGUAGGGCGGGACACGUGGUAUCCUGUCUGAAUAUGGGGGGACCAUCCUCCAAGGCUAAAUACUCCUGACUGACCGAUAGUGAACCAGUACCGUGAGGGAAAGGCGAAAAGAACCCCGGCGAGGGGAGUGAAAAAGAACCUGAAACCGUGUACGUACAAGCAGUGGGAGCACCCUUCGGGGUGUGACUGCGUACCUUUUGUAUAAUGGGUCAGCGACUUAUAUUCUGUAGCAAGGUUAACCGAAUAGGGGAGCCGUAGGGAAACCGAGUCUUAACCGGGCGUUAAGUUGCAGGGUAUAGACCCGAAACCCGGUGAUCUAGCCAUGGGCAGGUUGAAGGUUGGGUAACACUAACUGGAGGACCGAACCGACUAAUGUUGAAAAAUUAGCGGAUGACCUGUGGCUGGGGGUGAAAGGCCAAUCAAACCGGGAGAUAGCUGGUUCUCCCCGAAAGCUAUUUAGGUAGCGCCUCGUGAAUUCAUCUCCGGGGGUAGAGCACUGUUUCGGCUAGGGGGCCAUCCCGGCUUACCAACCCGAUGCAAACUGCGAAUACCGGAGAAUGUUAUCACGGGAGACACACGGCGGGUGCUAACGUCCGUCGUGAAGAGGGAAACAACCCAGACCGCCAGCUAAGGUCCCAAAGUCAUGGUUAAGUGGGAAACGAUGUGGGAAGGCCCAGACAGCCAGGAUGUUGGCUUAGAAGCAGCCAUCAUUUAAAGAAAGCGUAAUAGCUCACUGGUCGAGUCGGCCUGCGCGGAAGAUGUAACGGGGCUAAACCAUGCACCGAAGCUGCGGCAGCGACGCUUAUGCGUUGUUGGGUAGGGGAGCGUUCUGUAAGCCUGUGAAGGUGGCCUGUGAGGGUUGCUGGAGGUAUCAGAAGUGCGAAUGCUGACAUAAGUAACGAUAAAGCGGGUGAAAAGCCCGCUCGCCGGAAGACCAAGGGUUCCUGUCCAACGUUAAUCGGGGCAGGGUGAGUCGACCCCUAAGGCGAGGCCGAAAGGCGUAGUCGAUGGGAAACGGGUUAAUAUUCCCGUACUUGGUGUUACUGCGAAGGGGGGACGGAGAAGGCUAUGUUGGCCGGGCGACGGUUGUCCCGGUUUAAGCGUGUAGGCUGGUUUUCCAGGCAAAUCCGGAAAAUCAAGGCUGAGGCGUGACGACGAGGCACUACGGUGCUGAAGCAACAAAUGCCCUGCUUCCAGGAAAAGCCUCUAAGCAUCAGGUAACAUCAAAUCGUACCCCAAACCGACACAGGUGGUCAGGUAGAGAAUACCAAGGCGCUUGAGAGAACUCGGGUGAAGGAACUAGGCAAAAUGGUGCCGUAACUUCGGGAGAAGGCACGCUGACACGUAGGUGAAGUGAUUUACUCAUGGAGCUGAAGUCAGUCGAAGAUACCAGCUGGCUGCAACUGUUUAUUAAAAACACAGCACUGUGCAAACACGAAAGUGGACGUAUACGGUGUGACGCCUGCCCGGUGCCGGAAGGUUAAUUGAUGGGGUCAGCGCAAGCGAAGCUCCUGAUCGAAGCCCCGGUAAACGGCGGCCGUAACUAUAACGGUCCUAAGGUAGCGAAAUUCCUUGUCGGGUAAGUUCCGACCUGCACGAAUGGCGUAAUGAUGGCCAGGCUGUCUCCACCCGAGACUCAGUGAAAUUGAACUCGCUGUGAAGAUGCAGUGUACCCGCGGCAAGACGGAAAGACCCCGUGAACCUUUACUAUAGCUUGACACUGAACAUUGAGCCUUGAUGUGUAGGAUAGGUGGGAGGCUUUGAAGCGUGGACGCCAGUCUGCGUGGAGCCGACCUUGAAAUACCACCCUUUAAUGUUUGAUGUUCUAACGUGGACCCGUAAUCCGGGUUGCGGACAGUGUCUGGUGGGUAGUUUGACUGGGGCGGUCUCCUCCUAAAGAGUAACGGAGGAGCACGAAGGUUGGCUAAUCCUGGUCGGACAUCAGGAGGUUAGUGCAAUGGCAUAAGCCAGCUUGACUGCGAGCGUGACGGCGCGAGCAGGUGCGAAAGCAGGUCAUAGUGAUCCGGUGGUUCUGAAUGGAAGGGCCAUCGCUCAACGGAUAAAAGGUACUCCGGGGAUAACAGGCUGAUACCGCCCAAGAGUUCAUAUCGACGGCGGUGUUUGGCACCUCGAUGUCGGCUCAUCACAUCCUGGGGCUGAAGUAGGUCCCAAGGGUAUGGCUGUUCGCCAUUUAAAGUGGUACGCGAGCUGGGUUUAGAACGUCGUGAGACAGUUCGGUCCCUAUCUGCCGUGGGCGCUGGAGAACUGAGGGGGGCUGCUCCUAGUACGAGAGGACCGGAGUGGACGCAUCACUGGUGUUCGGGUUGUCAUGCCAAUGGCACUGCCCGGUAGCUAAAUGCGGAAGAGAUAAGUGCUGAAAGCAUCUAAGCACGAAACUUGCCCCGAGAUGAGUUCUCCCUGAGACUUUAGGUCUCCUGAAGGAACGUUGAAGACGACGACGUUGAUAGGCCGGGUGUGUAAGCGCAGCGAUGCGUUGAGCUAACCGGUACUAAUGAACCGUGAGGCUUAACCUU